rnacentral:sRNA from 1 species
GUACGCUCCGAAAGCGUGUUGUCGAGGCGAUGCUGGCUCGCGGCGAUCGCGCUC